UCGGGAAUUUUGGGCAAUGGGGGAAACCCUGACCCAGCAACGCCGCGUGAGCGAAGAAGGCCUUCGGGUUGUAAAGCUCUGUCAGUUGGGACGAACCGGUCUGUGAUGAGCAGGCUUUGACGGUACCAACGGAGGAAGCCCCGGCUAACUACGUGCCAGCAGCCGCGGUAAUACGUAGGGGGCGAGCGUUGUCCGGAAUUACUGGGCGUAAAGGGCAUGCAGGCGGCCAGUCAAGUCAUGGGUGAAAUUCCGAGGCUUAACCUCGGGGGUGCCUGUGAAACUGGGUGGCUUGAGGGUCGGAGAGGGCAGUGGAAUUCCCGGUGUAGCGGUGAUAUGCGUAGAUAUCGGGAGGAACACCAGUGGCGAAGGCGACUGCCUGGACGACACCUGACGCUGAGGUGCGAAAGCUCGGGGAGCGAACGGG
rnacentral:rRNA from 1 species